GGUGAACGCUGGCGGCGUGCUUAAGACAUGCAAGUCGAACGGGCUCUUCGGAGCCAGUGGCGCACGGGUGAGUAACGCGUAACUGACCUACCCCAAAGUCGCGGAUAACGAUUCGAAAGAAUCGCUAAUACGUGAUGUGCUGUCAGAUCCUGUUCUGCCAGUAGAGAUUUAUUGCUUUGGGAUGGGGUUGCGUUCCAUCAGCUAGUUGGUGGGGUAAAGGCCCACUAAGGCGACGACGGAUCGCCGGCCUGAGAGGGUGGCCGGCCACAGGGGCACUGAGACACGGGUCCGGCUCCUGCGGGAGGCAGCAGUUAGGGAUCGUCCACAAUGGGCGAAAGCCUGAUGGAGCGACGCCGCGUGAGGGAUGAGGGUCAUCGGAUCGGAAACCACUGAAUCAGGGACGAAAGACGCGAAAGCGGGAUGACGGUACCUGAGUAAUAGCACCGGCUAACUCCGUG
rnacentral:rRNA from 1 species